UUUUGUUUCUGCAUGAACUUUUUGUGGUGGUUAUGCGGAUUGGUUAGCAGAAUUUUGUGGAAAGUGGCGGUUUAAGUCGGUGAUGCAGCCUGUUAUAACAAGUUGAAGCUUUGAUUAAUGAUUUGAAGGAAAACGGAUUGUUCGAUAUUAAAGGAAACAAAGGGAGAGGGAGGUCAAAGGGAGCUGACUCUGAACAUGUCUGAACUGGCUCGGUUUCUACGGGAACCAGUUUGUUAUUCGUUUCGGUUGAGCUUUAUGCAGGGCUGCAGUUCUGUUCAUGUGAUGAUGGUUAAAUUGGCAUGCUGAUUUUAUGGAUUAUGCAGGGGUCAGAUUGAGUUUGUGAUGUUAACUGGCUUGGACAGCUAUGGGCUAUAUGUGUUAAGUGCUGCAGGCUUGAAUCUUUCCAGCAAAGUGAAGUGGAAUGUAUAACUGUUUAAU